rnacentral:sRNA from 1 species
GCUUGCGCGGGUCUCCGCCGCUUGGGCUCCUAGGGCCUGUGGCCUGGGCGGUAUGUCCCUUGCUUUCCCCUGAAGCGGGAGAAGACCCGGCAGAGGCGCUCUGUCCGCUGCAGCCGCGCGGGUGGAGGAGGCAGAGUCUGGGGUGUGACCCCGACCAAGUUUGACGCUUCUGUCCUCCUAGGGAGCAAGCUCGGCUGAAGGCCCGCGUCGUAAACUGGGACACCGAGGCGUGGCAGCGAGACCCCGCCUUCUCGGGUCUGCAGAGGGUCGGGGGCGUUGACGUGUCCUUCGUGAAAGGGGACAGUGUCCGCGCUUGUGCCUCCUUGGUGGUGCUCAGCUUCCCUGAGCUCGAGCAUGCGGAAGACGCCGGACUCUUCCUUAAAUAGAUACGUGUGUGAAUGGACAGCGGGCUCAUGAUUCACGUAAGAGUCAACAGCUCCGGAAGCCUCUUGGCGUCACUCGCAUUGCUCCUCUGCCGACUCCCGAAGGCUUUGGGGUGGCCUGCCACCUUGGCGUCCUUACAGACCUGCCUUGCGUUGGGGUGGCCAAGAAACUUCUGCAGGUGGAUGGGCUGGAGAAC